AACACUGUAGCAUCAUAUACAAUAUGAGUAAUAAGCACAAUUAUUUGUAAUAGUACAAGAGCUAUCCCUAGAAAUCAACAAAAAAUAAAAUGGACAAAGAAGGAAGAGCUUCCAUAGUAUCCAGACAAGAUAGCUAUGCCUAUGCCUAGAAAUCAACACAAAAUAAAAUGAACAAAAAAGGAAGAGCUUCCAUAAUAUCCAGAAAAGAUACAGUCCAAGAAUGAAUAAGGAUACUGAUGAAUGAUUCAACACCCUCUAACACCAAUAAUAACUGAAAUAACAGAUAAUAAUAAGAAAUCUAUUUUAUUUUCUUUUUUUUUCAAUAUAUUCAUGGUUCCAUAAAUGAGUCUCCUUUUUGCAAAUGAUCAGCACCUUGAUGGUGCCUUAAACAAGAGUUUUAGCCUCUUUACCAAUUUAUCAACAAAAUAAAAAGGGCAUUGCUCAAUUGUGAUGAUUAUUAAACCA
rnacentral:misc_RNA from 1 species